rnacentral:lncRNA from 1 species
UUAGCCAACCGCCCACUUGUUGCUACCGCUAGUCGCCAUCUGAGGCCAUUGCCAGUCACCAUCCACCGAUGCUUGGGAGAGAGAAAUUUUGUGUUAUUAUCAAACGAACUUUUUUUCCUGAAACAAAAAUUUUAUAUCGUUAUCAAAUAAGUAUUUGUGCUCAGAAACUUAUUAAGGAAUAGAAAUAAAAAAUAAAUCAAUUUUUAGCCUGAAUGGUUACUAUUUGCCCCGUGAGCACCCGAAUUUCUAUUUUCCUCCGUCCAUCCUUCGUUUGAAAGGGUUUCAAUUGGUGAGCUGCAAAUGUGUGACGUCACGCAUAUGUAAGUCUAACGAUAAAUAUGUGCGGUAGAGAUUUUACAUAUGAAUGAUGUCCGGUACCAUAUAUGCUUACGAGCCGGAAUCCUUCGAUCGAGACGGAGGAAAAGACGGGCCGUGGAAAAGUCGAAAGUAAAAGACUUUUAAUUCCUGGGAGAACAACGGGGAGAUUAGUCUCGUGAUCAGACAUGCCAAAUCAAGCGAUGCAAACGCGCUCACAACUUUCAUCAUCACGUCCCAUUGCCAAGUCCUGGCUUUUUGCUCGCGAGAUAUUUCUGCAUGCUCGAGAAUAACUGAUCGAGAACGCGCACACCUGUCGACGCUCGAUUGCCUAAGGCAGCAGAGCG